GAUGAAGAACGCAGCGAAAUGCGAUAAGUAAUGUGAAUUGCAGAAUUCAGUGAAUCAUCGAAUCUUUGAACGCACAUUGCGCCCAUUAGUAUUCUAGUGGGCAUGCCUGUUCGAGCGUCAUUAAGUCCACUUAAGCCCUGCUUAGUGUUGGGAGACUGCUCCAGCGGUGCUACCCUGUAGCUACCCUGCAGCUCCUCAAAGACAGCGGCCGAGUUGUGGUAUCCUCUGAGCUUAGUAACUUGUUCUAGCUUUCGAGUACACCACUUCCCCUGCCGUAAAACCCUUAAUUUUUAAUGGUUGACCUCGGAUCAGGUAGGAAUACCCGCUGAACUUAAGCAUAUCAAUAAGCGGAGGA
rnacentral:misc_RNA from 1 species